GUGGGUUUUCUUUUGGUGGCCUUCUAGGGACUCUGGUAAAGCUCCGAGGUGCCCUUUAAGCCCCUUCUCUCUGUGGAGCAUUUUGUAGGUGGAGAGCUCUAAAGACAUGCACUGGCAAGUUUUCACACAGGGGUAGUUAGUCUCCACACAGGUAGUUAGUAUCCAUACAGGGUUAGCUACUCUCUAUACAGAGGUGGUUAAAAGACAGAAUUCUUGGAACAUUUAUUUUUUGCUUUGGUUCUUUAAGCCUGUUUCCUCCAAAUCUGAGACCUAGGUCCAUGGGGCCUUCUGUAUCUUCUUCACACUGCCUUGAAUGCAGAGGCUUCUUUGAUCUCUGAGGCAAACCGCUCUUGCACAAUGACUGGUUC
rnacentral:lncRNA from 1 species